rnacentral:lncRNA from 1 species
GUUGACCUCACCCCCGGCCGACGCCUUCCUCCACAUCCUUCUGACCCCAAGGCUGAGGUCGUUCCCGUCUAUCUCCCCUGUGUGUGCGCGUACAUCGUCGGCAAGCGUGAGGAGGGGUUGCCGCAGUUGCUUCUUCGCCUUCUCCCAUCUCACGUCCCCAUCGCCGGACGCCUCGCCACGUCUCUCACCUUGCCCCUCUCCAUGGUAAACUUCAGUCCUCCCCUCUCCCCUGCUCUUUUAAUUUCUUUUAUCCUUAAUGUUCUUCCUUUGAUAAAUCUAAGCCGUGAAUUUGCACAAAUCUGGCUAAAUUUCGUGCUCUUAUCUCUUCCAUCUCGGUGGUUUCUUCUGUAGGUGCAUCGCGGAACUAUUUCUGGAGGCCGUCGCCACCGCAUUAGUUGCCGGAUGGUCUUCCCCUGCUCCAUUGUAAGUAAAAAAAACAUGCUUUUUCUGUGGGGCUAUAUAGGUACCUCUGGCCGGAGCUGAUAUUGGGUGUUCUGUUUACCUCAGAGACGAGUUCCCAAGAAAUGCUCUUUGUUUAUUGCCUUUUUGCAUUCUUUUGCCGUGUAUGGAUUUAUUCAUUUUACAUGUUGCAAGAAAUGGCUUUGUUCUCUAUGCUAGCUCAAAGUUUAGAUGCUGCUGCUAGGUGUGCUAUUAGCAACCACAUUGGUUAAGUCACUGAAAACUGAAAAGAUUAAUGUCACUGUAAUUUUCAUCCUUGCUAGGUGCUUUAGGAUAUGCAGUGUAUGCAUGUGAAGACGUGAAGAUGUUGACUCUUUUUCCUUGCUAGCUGCUUCAGGAUAUGCAGUGUAUGUAUGUGAAGAUGUACUCUUCUUUUUAGAUCACUGAUGCUACUUGCGCCGUACUAUUCGAUGCCCAAUUCAGAGUUACGUAACAGGCUGACUGCUUUCUCUUAGAGAGAGAAAAAAUGCUAUCAUUGGCUGCGGCGAUCACCACGCACAACGGCGGCUGGCGUUCCUUUUUCUCUUGCCCCGCUCUUCGCUGGAUCCAACUCUCAAAGCAACAUGCUAAUUAAUGGCUAUUGCCGUUGGUCAUGAUUUUUUCUGCUGAUUUUUUCAUCUUCCUAUGGAUUUGUUUCUUCCUAUAAAUACUUCCCAUCCCAGUGCCAGUGCUGGUAGAUGCAGAUUUACAUCAAUUUGCAAUUAGCCAAAGCAAAAUCUAGGCUGAUGGUUCAAGGUCUCAAAAAAUUCAUGUAACUUUCAAAUCCUUUCCUCUUUGGCCCUUGUACUGUGGUCUAUUCUUGGUUUUCCAGUGAAUCACUCUUCUUUUUUUACAUGUACGAUGUGUGCUUGUGCAGGCGCUGCUUUUAGGAGACAAUGAUUCCGGAACAGAUGAGUGAGGAUCAUAACUGGAUGGUUUCAUAGUUGGAUUUCUACCUGUCCAACAGAUUCAUGUCAUCUGGCUAUUUUUCUGUAAGUAUAUUUCCUAAUAAGCAUCUCUGAAUUGUCAAGUUGUGAAGAAAAAAAGGAUAUCACGUUGCUCGAGGCAUGAAACCUAGUGCCAGAUUAUAAAGUUUCAUAUAUACUUUUCUGGUUUUAUUCAUAUAUCAUAUGGUGUGUCCACAAAUGGCACUACUGCAUGAGAUGCAUUAAUUCUGAACAUGCAAGUCUAGGACAGUGCUGCUCCAGUGACAAUAUAUGUGUCACAAUGAGCUGAGUUUCCAACAUAUCUAGUCAGCAGUUGGAUGAGUACUAUUUUCUCCUUAGUGGCUGCUGCCAGGUAGUGUGUUUCUUAUGUGGCUUUGUGCUGGCUGGCUAUAAUUAUGUAGGUGAUGCUGCUGAUCAUGAACCUAGGUAACACAGAAAUUGUGUAUUUAGUCGCCAUUUCUCUGUGCAAUGUGAUGGAUGAGAAUAAGAGUGGUGCCAUGUAUAUGUAGAACUAUUGUUGCUUUUGAGGAAAAGCCCAAGAAGCAAAUUAGGCUAUGACUCAAAUAAUCAUCACCAACUUUGUCACGCAAAGCAUUCUUCACAAUAGUCAUAGCUGGAAAACAUGUCUCAACAUUGGCAGUGGCAACUUGGAGAGUCAGUGCUAGCUUGAAAAGCCGAUAUACCAAAGGGUAGGAGAGAUGCUUCCUUGUAUCCACCAUCAGUUUAGCAAUCACCUAUUUUGUCCAAGCUAGAAAACCUUCUAUCAUGGGUUACAUUAUUUAUGUAGAUACUAAGUUCAUGUUCAAGAGUAACAUAUCUCUGUGACUAAAAUCAUCAGGAUAAAGCUUAGCUAAUUCCAGCAACUUCUUGUCAAAAAAACAAAAUAAAUCACCUUUGCUCAAAGCAGACCCAUUGGUGGCGGCAGCCCCUGGGUUGUGGUGUUGCCAUCUCUUUAUUUCCUUGUCAAAUAUUGCUUCUUCAUUAAUUUUGUACAUAAUUUUGUAGGGGAAGAUGAUUCGUCUAUGUUAUCUUCAAGGACGACGCUAUGGAUGAUCACAUCGGCAAUGGCAUCACUCGAGUUUGCAACAUGACUGAGAACAUGAUGAUAACAACUAUGCAUCCGGAGGAGGAUCUCACUAGUCCGUUUGCACUUCAACUAAUGAGCGACAAUCGUAUGGUAUUUUGUUGCAGCAACUGUUAUAUGGAAUAUGAUGGAUGAGAAAUAGUAAAAUGAUGCGUAUGUAUGUGAUGCUGCUGAUCAUGAAUCUAGGUGACUUAGAAGUGUGUGUGUGUGUGUUUUGUUUCAUUGCCCUGUGCAAUGCGAUGGAUCAGAAUCAGAGUGGUUUCAUGUAUGCGUAGAAAUGUUUUUGCUUUUGAGCAAGUCCAUGUACAAAUUCUCGUAUGUCAAUUGCUGGAUGUUGAAACAUAGUUUAAUAUAUCGGUAUGUAUGCAAACACUGAUUUUGGACGGCUUUCCUAAUAUAUGGGCUAUUGGAUGUAUGCUUAUUUAUCACUGAAUAUUUAUUGACAGGUUAUAG